UGUCGCGGAGAGUUCUUUUUUGUCGGCGGACUCACUCAUUUUUACGCGACAAAUCCCGAACAAUUACCAAUGCUGCGCUGGGCCAAGCGCGCAUGCUGCUGCUCGCUAUUUCUGGCGCUAAAUCAUUAAGAGGUGGCUUAAAGGUCAAUUUAAUCGGGUUAAGAAAGUAUGAAUUUCGGUACUUCAGGAUGGUCUGUUCACGCCUGUCAAAAUUGAAAAGAAGAAAGGCGGCACGGGAUACCGCGCCGCCUUAUGUGUCGUACCAGGCGGAGGACUGUUAGCGCUGCAGCCGUGCCAGCAGGCUCGACGUAUCCCAGCGCUUGCCGCCCAUUUUCUCGACUUCAGCGUAGAAAUUAUCGACCAGCGCGGUGACCG
rnacentral:misc_RNA from 1 species